AUUCAUACCUUCCCAACCAGCUGCAAUAAACAUAAACCGCAUGUCAAAAUCACAUGCACAAGUUAUAAUCCUUUGUGGUGGUUAAGACGCGCCUGCUACUUCUUUCUUUGGAGCUCCCCUUUAUGUAUGUCUCAUCAACAGCGAUGAGUUGUUUUGGUUUAUCAUGUGGAACAUGCAUCUGAAACUAUAGUGUAAGACAAAAGCAGCUAUUAUCCGCCGAUGAAAUGUUUCAAGUUAGAAACCUGUAGGUUCAUAUAUACGCGUGAUAUCCCCAAAGAAGAUAACAACCCAAGCCAUACCAAUCCUGGAUGUAUGUUGCUGUGUGCAAGAUAACGACAUACGUUCUUGGCAAUCUAUUCACACUGAUCAGACACUACAACGUGUACGAUGUAAUCCUCAAUGUCGUGUCUUACUCGGUGCCACUACUGGAUAGGCUAAAAAUUUUCCAUGGA
rnacentral:misc_RNA from 1 species